AUUGAACGCUGGCGGCACGCCUAACACAUGCAAGUCGAGCGGCAGCGCGAUCAGUAGCAAUACUGAUUGGCGGCGAGCGGCGGACGGGUGAGGAACACGUAGGAACCUGCCUAAGAGAGGGGGAUAACUAAUGGAAACGUUAGCUAAUACCGCAUAAUCUCGAGAGAGCAAAGCUGCAGCAAUGUAGCGCUAUUAGAGGGGCCUGCGUCCGAUUAGGUAGUUGGUGAGGUAAGAGCUCACCAAGGCGAUGAUCGGUAACUGGUCUGAGAGGACGACCAGUCACACUGGGACCGAGACACGGCCCAGACUCCUACGGGAGGCAGCAGUGGGGAAUCUUGGACAAUGGGGGCAACCCUGAUCCAGCGAUGCCGCGUGAGUGAAGAAGGCCCUCGGGUCGUAAAGCUCUUUAGGCUGGGAAGAAGGUUAUUGGAGGAAAUGCCAGUAAUUUGACUGUACCAGCAGAAUAAGCACCGGCAAACUCUGUGCCAGCCGCCGCCGUAA
rnacentral:rRNA from 1 species